rnacentral:rRNA from 1 species
UGUUAUUGUCGCGGAGGCUGGAUGCACCGCGAUAUAAAGCUCCGACGCCUAAGGAUGGGUCUGCGGCCUAUCAGGGUAGUAGUGGGUGUAAAGUACCUACUAGCCUACGACGGGUACGGGUUGUGAGAGCAAGAGCCCGGAGAUGGAUUCUGAGACACGAAUCCAGGCCCUACGGGGUGCAGCAGGCGCGAAAACUUUACAAUGCUGGCAACAGCGAUAAGGGGACCUCGAGUGCCAGGAUACAAUCCUGGCUGUCGUAAUGCCUAAAAAGCAUUAUAUAGCAAGGGCCGGGCAAGACCGGUGCCAGCCGCCGCGGUAACACCGGCGGCUCGAGUGGUAACCGUUAUUAUUGGGUCUAAAGGGUCUGUAGCCGGCUGGAUAAGUCUCUUGGGAAAUCUGGCAGCUUAACUGUCAGGCUUUCAGGGGAUACUGUUCGGCUCGAGACCGGGAGAGGUGAGAGGUACCUCAGGGGUAGGGGUGAAAUCUUGUAAUCCUUGAGGGACCACCAGUGGCGAAGGCGUCUCACCAGAACGGAUCUGACGGCAAGGGACGAGAGCUAGGGGCACGAACCGGAUUAGAUACCCGGGUAGUCCUAGCCGUAAACGAUACUCGCUAGGUGUCGGCCACGGUGCGACCGUGGUCGGUGCCGU